UACGGGGGGAGCAAGCGUUGUUCGGAUUUACUGGGCGUAAAGGGCGCGUAGGCGGCCAGCACAGGUCAGUUGUGAAAUCUCCGAGCUUAACUCGGAAAGGUCAACUGAUACUGUGCGGCUAGAGUGCGGAAGGGGCAACUGGAAUUCUUGGUGUAGCGGUGAAGUGCGUAGAUAUCAAGAGGAACACCUGCGGCGAAGGCGGGUUGCUGGGCCGACACUGACGCUGAGGCGCGAAAGCCAGGGGAGCGAACGGG
rnacentral:rRNA from 1 species